AGCGAACGCUGGCGGCGUGCUUAACACAUGCAAGUCGAGCGAAGGUGUUUCAAGGGUAACCUUGAGAUACACUUAGCGGCGGACGGGUGAGUAAUACGUGGAUAACUUACCUCUAGGCCUGGGAUAACCCCGGGAAACUGGGGCUAAUACCUGAUAAGACCACAUUGUCUACGGACAAAGGGGUAAAAGGUGGCUGUGCAAACAGCUAUCGCCAAAAGAUAGGUUCACGUCCCAUCAGGCAGUGGUGAGGUAAUGGCUCACCAAACCAAAGACGGGUAGCCGGCCUUGGCGGGGUGAACGGCCACACGGGGACUGAGACACGGCCCCGACUCCUACGGGA
rnacentral:rRNA from 1 species